AAUAUUUUCGUCCUGAUUUUAAAGCUGGUUGGUGUAGUGCUAUUAAAAUUUCGUUCAGUUAAUUUUCCUUUUGAAAACUUGUUCGCACGUUGUUUAGGGUGCCCUUACUUCAGCAAAGGAGAAGGAGUAGGAGAGCCUUAGAAUUUUUGAGGAAAAAAAAACCUAUAACAUACAAUGUACUGUAUCAAACUAUUUUACAUGAAUGACACAAGUAUUCUGAAUAAAAAAUAAUUGAACAUUGUUAAAAACAAGGUGUUAUGUAAUAAAUUUAUUUUUCAUAAAUCAAA
rnacentral:lncRNA from 1 species